GAGAUGUAUUCUACAUCAUCUGGAGUGCCAAAGGUUGCCUAACUCUGAAAUACAGGCUUGUAUUUCUAAUUGUAGAGUGCUCCUUUAAAGGGACACUGUAGGAACCCAGACUACUUCAGCUCAUUGAAGUGGCCUGGGUACUAAUUCCCAUCACCCUUAACCCUGAGCAUGUAAUUAUUGCUGUUUUUAUAAACUGCAACAAUUAACUACUAGGGUUAACUCCUCCACCCGGGUGCUUAGACGACUUUUGGACGCUGGAUGUCCUCACGCCAUGCAUUAGUGGAAUCCCCAUAGGAAAGCAUGAAAUAAUGCUUUCCUAUGGGGAGAUCCUAAUACGAGCGUGGCCAUUGCUGAGCAUGCACAUUAGGUCUCCCACGUUAGUGGGGCUGGGCCAGCGCCAUGGGGGGAAGUGGGGGCCUGCCUUGGCAGAAGAGGACACUAUAGUGCCAGGAAAAUGUUUGUUUUCCUAGCACUAUAGAUCCCUUUUAAAUGAAUAAGCUUGAG